rnacentral:rRNA from 1 species
AUUGAACGCUGGCGGCAGGCCUAACACAUGCAAGUCGAACGGUAACAGGAAGCAGCUUGCUGCUUCGCUGACGAGUGGCGGACGGGUGAGUAAUGUCUGGGAAACUGCCCGAUGGAGGGGGAUAACUACUGGAAACGGUAGCUAAUACCGCAUAACGUCGCAAGACCAAAGAGGGGGGGACCUUCGGGCCUCUUGCCAUCGGAUGUGCCCAGAUGGGAUUAGCUUGUUUGGG